rnacentral:rRNA from 1 species
AACGAACGCUGGCGGCAUGCCUAACACAUGCAAGUCGAACGAGACCUUCGGGUCUAGUGGCGCACGGGUGCGUAACACGUGGGAAUUUGCCUCGGGGUAUGGAAUAACUCAGGGAAACUUGAGCUAAUACCAUAUAAUGUCUUCGGACCAAAGAUUUAUCGCCCUGAGAUAAGCCCGCGUAGGAUUAGCUAGUUGGUGGGGUAAAGGCUCACCAAGGCGACGAUCCUUAGCUGGUCUGAGAGGAUGAUCAGCCACACUGGGACUGAGACACGGCCCAGACUCCUACGGGAGGCAGCAGUGGGGAAUUUUGGACAAUGGGCGCAAGCCUGAUCCAGCAAUGCCGCGUGCAGGAUGAAGGCCUGGUUGUAACUAGCUUUGUACGGAACGAACGGUAGAGCUCUAAUACAG